rnacentral:rRNA from 1 species
GGACGAACGCUGGCGGCGUGCCUAAUACAUGCAAGUCGAGCGAAUYGAUGGGAGCUUGCUCCCUGAGAUUAGCGGCGGACGGGUGAGUAACACGUGGGCAACCUGCCUAUAAGACUGGGAUAACUUCGGGAAACCGGAGCUAAUACCGGAUACGUUCUUUUCUCGCAUGAGRGAAGAUGGAAAGACGGUUUACGCUGUCACUUAUAGAUGGGCCCGCGGCGCAUUAGCUAGUUGGUGAGGUAAUGGCUCACCAAGGCGACGAUGCGUAGCCGACCUGAGAGGGUGAUCGGCCACACUGGGACUGAGACMCGGCCCAGACUCCUACGGGAGGCAGCAGUAGGGAAUCUUCCGCAAUGGACGAAAGUCUGACGGAGCAACGCCGCGUGAACGAAGAAGGCCUUCGGGUCGUAAAGUUCUGUUGUUAGGGAAGAACAAGUACCAGAGUAACUGCU